rnacentral:rRNA from 1 species
GACGAACGCUGGCGGCGUGCUUAACACAUGCAAGUCGAACGGAAAGGCCCUGCGUUUGUGGGGUGCUCGAGUGGCGAACGGGUGAGUAACACGUGAGUAACCUGCCCUUGACUUUGGGAUAACUUCAGGAAACUGGGGCUCAUACCGGAUAGGAGCUCCUGCUGCAUGGUGGGGAUUGGAAAGUUUCGGCGGUGGGGGCUGGACUAGCGGCUUAUCAGCUGGUUUGUGGGGUAGUGGCGUACCAAGGCUUUGACGGGUAGCCGGCCUGAGAGGGGGACCGGCCACAUUGGGACUGAGAUAGGCCCCAGACGCCUACGGGAGGCAGCAGGGGGGAAUAUUGCACAAUGGGCGGAAGUCUGAUGUAGCAACGCCGCGUGCGGGAUGACGGCCUUCGGGUUGUAAACCGCUUUCGCCUGAGACGAAGAGUGAGUGACGGUAAUGGGUAAAGAAGCACCGGCUAACUACGUG